rnacentral:rRNA from 1 species
AGUGAACGCUGGCGGCAGGCCUAACACAUGCAAGUCGAACGGCAGCACAAGAGAGCUUGCUCUCUGGGUGGCGAGUGGCGGACGGGUGAGGAAUGCAUCGGAAUCUGCCCAUUUGUGGGGGAUAACCUCGGGAAACCGGGACUAAUACCGCAUACGACCUACGGGUGAAAGCAGGGGAUCUUCGGACCUUGCGCAGAUGGAUGAGCCGAUGCCGGAUUCGCUAGUUGGAGGGGUAAAGGCCCACCAAGGCGACGAUCCGUAGCUGGUCUGAGAGGAUGAUCAGCCACACUGGGACUGAGACACGGCCCAGACUCCUACGGGAGGCAGCAGUGGGGAAUAUUGGACAAUGGGCGCAAGCCUGAUCCAGCCAUGCCGCGUGUGUGAAGAAGGCCUUCGGGUUGUAAAGCACUUUUGUUGGGAAAGAAAAGCAGCCGGUUAAUACCCGGUUGUCAUGACGGUACCCAAAGAAUAAGCACCGGCUAACUUCGUG